CCUACGGGGGACUGCAGUGAGGAAUAUUGGUCAAUGGUCGCGAGACUGAACCAGCCAAGUAGCGUGCAGGAUGACUGCCCUAUGGGUUGUAAACUGCUUUUAUGCAGGGAUAAAGUGCGUCCCGUGUGCUUUUUUGUAGGUACUUUAUGAAUAAGGAUCGGCUAACUCCGUACCAGCAGCCGCGGUAAUACUGAGGGUCCGGGCGUUAUCCGGAUUUAUUGGGUUUAAAGGGAGCGUAGGGAGGAUGUUAAGUCUGUAGUGAAAGGUCGUGGCUCAACCAUAGCACUGCGGCGUGAACUGGCUUGCUUGAGUGCGAGGAACGUAUGCGGAAGUCGUGGUGUAGCGGUGAAAUGCUUAGAUAUCACGAAGAACUCCGAUUGCGAAGGCAGCAUACGGCAGCGCUACUGACGCUGAAGCUCGAAGGCGCGGGUAUCGAACAGGAUUAGAUACCCCGGUAGUC
rnacentral:rRNA from 1 species